rnacentral:misc_RNA from 1 species
GAUGAAGAACGUGGCGAAAUGCGAUAAGUAAUGUGAAUUGCAGAAUUCAGUGAAUCAUCGAAUCUUUGAACGCACAUUGCGCCCCUUGGUAUUCCGAGGGGCAUGCCUGUUCGAGCGUCAUAUUAACCACUCCCGCUUGCGGGGUCUUGGGCUUCGCCUCCGGGCGGGCCUUAAAAUCAGUGGCGGUGCCGUCGGGCUCUACGCGUAGUAAAUUUUCUCGCGAUAGGGUCCCGGUGGAUGCUUGCCAACAACCCCCAACUUCUUAAGGUUGACCUCGGAUCAGGUAGGGAUACCCGCUGAACUUAAGCAUAUCAAUAAGCGGAGGA